CCUACGGGAGGCUGCAGUGAGGAAUAUUGGUCAAUGGACGAGAGUCUGAACCAGCCAAGUAGCGUGAAGGAUGACUGCCCUAUGGGUUGUAAACUUCUUUUAUAUGGGAAUAAAAUGUUCCACGUGUGGGAUUUUGUAUGUACCAUAUGAAUAAGGAUCGGCUAACUCCGUGCCAGCAGCCGCGGUAAUACGGAGGGUCCGAGCGUUAUCCGGAUUUAUUGGGUUUAAAGGGAGCGUAGGUGGAUUGUUAAGUCAGUUGUGAAAGUUUGCGGCUCAACCGUAAAAUUGCAGUUGAAACUGGCAGUCUUGAGUACAGUAGAGGUGGGCGGAAUUCGGGGUGUAGCGGUGAAAUGCUUAGAUAUCACGAAGAACUCCGAUUGCGAAGGCAGUUCACUGGACUGCAACUGACACUGAGGCUCGAAAGUGUGGGUAUCAAACAGGAUUAGAUACCCUUGUAGUC
rnacentral:rRNA from 1 species